rnacentral:tRNA from 1 species
GCUCUUGUAGCGCAGUGGUAGCGCGUUCGUUUCACGUGCGAAAGGUCCCGGGUUCGACCCCCGGCGAGAGCA